GCGCCCUGCCCGUGAUCGUCUUCUCACCCUUCACGCGGCGGGCGGAGAGAGGGAACGGCCCCCGCGAGGACAGGACUCGCGGGGGCCGUUC
rnacentral:ncRNA from 1 species